rnacentral:rRNA from 1 species
UACGUAGGGGGCUAGCGUUUGUCCGGAAUCAUUGGGCGUAAAGAGCGUGUAGGCGGUCCGGUAAGUCCGCUGUGAAAGUCGGGGGGCUCAACCCUCGAAUGCCGGUGGAUACUGUCGGGCUAGAGUGCGGAAGAGGCGAGUGGAAUUCCUGGUGUAGCGGUGAAAUGCGCAGAUAUCAGGAGGAACACCAAUUGCGAAGGCAGCUCGCUGGGAC